CGCACAUUGCGCCCGCCGGAAUUCCGGCGGGCAUGCCUGUUCGAGCGUCAUUUCAACCCUCAAAUCCCCCGGAUUUGGUGUUGGGACGUCCGCGUCAGCGGGGGUCCUCAAAUCUAUAGGCGGUACCGCACGGCACUGAACGCAGUAAUCUUUAUUCGUUCGGCUGUUCUGGCGGCCUGCUUGCCCCUAAACUCUCCCCUUUGGGAAUCAAGGUUGACCUCGGAUCAGGUAGGAAUACCCGCUGAACUUAA
rnacentral:misc_RNA from 1 species